UACGUAGGGUCCAAGCGUUGUCCGGAUUUCUUGGGCGUAAAGAGCUCGUAGGCGGUUCCGUAAGUCGGAUGUGCAAACUCAGGGCUCAACCCGGAGACGCCAUCUGAUACUGCGGUGACUGGAGUCUGGUAGGGGAUCACGGAAUACCUGGUGUAGCGGUGAAAUGCGCAGAUAUCAGGUGGAACACCGAUGGCGAAGGCAGUGAUCUGGGCCAGUACUGACGCUGAGGAGCGAAAGCGUGGGGAGCAAACAGG
rnacentral:rRNA from 1 species